rnacentral:rRNA from 1 species
GAAUAUUGGACAAUGGGCGAAAGCCUGAUCCAGCCAUGCCGCGUGUGUGAAGAAGGUCUUCGGAUUGUAAAGCACUUUGAGUUGGGAGGAAGGGCGUCAAGCUAAUACCUUGAUGUUUUGACGUUACCAACAGAAUAAGCACCGGCUAACUCUGUGCCAGCGGCCGCGAUAAUACAGAGGGUGCAAGCGUUAAUCGGAAUUACUGGGCGUAACGCGCGCGUAGGUGGUUCAGUAAGAUGGGUGUGAAAUCCCCGGGCUCAACCUGGGAACUGCUUUCAUAACUGCUGAGCUAGAGUACGGUAGAGGGUAGUGGAAUUUCCUGUGUAGCGGUGAAAUGCGUAGAUAUAGGAAGGAACACCAGUGGCGAAGGCGACAUACUGGCUCAUUACUGACGCUGAGGCGCGAAAGCGUGGGGAGCAAACAG